AACGAACGCUGGCGGCAUGCCUAACACAUGCAAGUCGAACGAGACCUUCGGGUCUAGUGGCGCACGGGUGCGUAACGCGUGGGAACCUGCCCUUAGGUUCGGAAUAACUCCCCGAAAGGGGUGCUAAUACCGGAUAAUGUCUUCGGACCAAAGAUUUAUCGCCUUUGGAUGGGCCCGCGUUGGAUUAGCUAGUUGGUAGGGUAAAAGCCUACCAAGGCGACGAUCCAUAGCUGGUCUGAGAGGAUGAUCAGCCACACUGGGACUGAGACACGGCCCAGACUCCUACGGGAGGCAGCAGUGGGGAAUUUUGGACAAUGGGCGCAAGCCUGAUCCAGCAAUGCCGCGUGCGGGAAGAAGGCCUUCGGGUUGUAAACCGCUUUUGGCAGGAACGAAACGGUGUCCGCUAAUACCGGGCGCUAAUGACGGUACCUGCAGAAUAAGCACCGGCUAACUACGUG
rnacentral:rRNA from 1 species